CAGAGUUAGAAAAUAGCUUAAUGAAUUUCCUCAAAAUUGAUGUGCUUUGUGAAUAGUUGGAGCCACCUGGUGGACAAAUACCGCAACUGCAACUGUUAAGGUUCCAAAUUGCUGCACAGCGCAUGCCUCAGCAAAGGAAAAUACUCCCAAGCUGGUGAACUGAAUGUUGCAGUUGCUUUGCACACUGUUAAUGACGACUGUGUGCUGUUUUCUUUGUACCAGUUGCCAGAAUAAAGAGGGAGCCCAGAGUAAGGGCAAGU